UACGGGGGGGCAAGCGUUGUUCGGAAUUACUGGGCGUAAAGGGUUCGUAGGUGGCCUGCUAAGUCAGACGUGAAAUCCCUCAGCUUAACUGGGGAACUGCGUCUGAUACUGGUGGGCUUGAGUGCAGGAGAGGAACGCGGAAUUCCAGGUGUAGCGGUGAAAUGCGUAGAUAUCUGGAGGAACACCGGUGGCGAAGGCGGCAUCCUGGACCAAUUCUGACGCUGAGGAGCGAAAGCCAGGGGAGCAAAGCGGGG
rnacentral:rRNA from 1 species